rnacentral:hammerhead_ribozyme from 10 species
AACUAGUCAGGGGCUAUUGUUGUUCCCCUUAUGAGCCCAAGGUAGGGCGAAACCAGUG